rnacentral:lncRNA from 1 species
GAAAUUGCAACAAAGUAAUUAACUUAAACACGUCACAAUGUAACAUGAUUACUCUACAAAAUGUCACGGUCAUUAUGGAAUACCUCCAUUGCAAUUAUUCAUUCUGGGCAGUUAGCUCCAUAAAUGCCGGAAAGAUUUCCCUGAGUAAUCAAACGCUAGUGGUUGUACUGUGUAGUAUGCAGUAAGCAUUUGUUAAAGUUCUGCGAGUGAAAGUUAGUCACGGGGUUGAAGCCAUGGCUUCGGAUUGCAGAAGCAUACGGACCGGCCUGUUGAAUUUCAAAUUCCAAUUGGGCAACGACAAGGAAAAAUGGAGGUUUGGGUUCUAGAAGGAUUUGUGUUGCUCAUGCUUACUUAUAAAUCUGAUCAUAUUAGAGCGCGCCAAUCGAUAUUUAUCCAAUGGUUGAUAAACAAACCAACCUAUAUUAUGUAAUGACAACUAAAAUUUCCAUUGUCAAUUAGCAAAUCUAGCAUUAAUAAACAGAAAAAGAAUUGGGAAUGGAGUUGUACCUCUGAUUAGAUGGCGGCCGAGCAUCGGAUUCUUGGGAUUCCUUUAACCGAUUCACUGUGGUCAAUGAAGGAACAUUAUAGACAAAGCUAAACAAUUCCAUGUGAUCAAAUUUGGGUUCUGAAUUCUGAUUCAGAACUAAUGAAACUGGG